rnacentral:tRNA from 1 species
GCUCGCGUAGCUCAGUUGGCAGAGCACACCCUUGGUAAGGGUGAGGUCAUCGGUUCAAUCCCGAUCGCGAGCU